rnacentral:rRNA from 1 species
GGCGCACGGGUGCGUAACACGUGAGCAAUCUGCCGGGAAGUGGGGGAUAGCUCGCCGAAAGGCGAAUUAAUACCGCAUGUGGCCAUCCUUCGAGUGGAGGAAAAGCCAAAGCAGCAAUGCGCUUCCUGAUGAGCUCGCGGCCUAUCAGCUCGAUGGCGGGGUAAUGGCCCACCAUGGCUUUGACGGGUAGCUGGUCUGAGAGGACGACCAGCCACACUGGAACUGAGAUACGGUCCAGACACCUACGGGUGGCAGCAGUCGAGAAUUUUUCACAAUGGGGGCAACCCUGAUGGAGCGACGCCGCGUGGAGGAUGAAGGCCUUCGGGUUGUAAACUCCUGUCAUGCGGGAACAAGCAAGUGAUAGUACCGCAAGAGGAAGAGACGGCUAACUCUGUGCCAGCAGCCGCGGUAAUACAGAGGUCUCAAGCGUUGUUCGGAUUCAUUGGGCGUAAAGGGUGCGUAGGUGGUGACGCCAGUCUGGUGUGAAAUCUCGGAGCUCAACUCCGAAAUGGCACCGGAUACUGCGUGACUCGAGGACUGUAGAGGAGAUCGGAAUUCACGGUGUAGCAGUGAAAUGCGUAGAUAUCGUGAGGAAGACCAGUUGCGAAGGCGGAUCUCUGGGCAGUUCCUGACACUGAGGCACGAAGGCCAGGGGAGCAAACGGGAUUAGAUACCCCGGUAGUCC